rnacentral:misc_RNA from 1 species
UCUCCGUAGGUGAACCUGCGGAGGGAUCAUUACAGAGUUCAUGCCCUACCAGGUGGAUCUCCCACCCUAUGUAAUUAUCACUUUGUUGCUUUAGCUGGCCGUUAGGCUCCGGCCCGACUGAGGGCCCCGGCUGGUAAGCGCCCGCCAGAGUACCCAAAACCCGGAAUAUAACUGUCGUCUGUGUACUAUAUAAUAGUUAAAACUUUCAACAACGGAUCUCUUGGUUCUG